UUUUGCUUGCAAACCAAAGCUGGCGACCGGCGCACGGGUGAGUAACACGUAUCCAACCUGCCGAUAACUCGGGGAUAGCCUUUCGAAAGAAAGAUUAAUAUCCGAUGGUAUAUUAAAACCGCAUGGUUUUACUAUUAAAGAAUUUCGGUUAUCGAUGGGGAUGCGUUCCAUUAGUUUGUUGGCGGGGUAACGGCCCACCAAGACUACGAUGGAUAGGGGUUCUGAGAGGAAGGUCCCCCACAUUGGAACCGAGACACGGUCCAA
rnacentral:rRNA from 1 species